rnacentral:rRNA from 1 species
UACGUAGGGGGCAAGCGUUGUCCGGAAUCAUUGGGCGUAAAGCGCGCGUAGGCGGCCCGGUAAGUCCGCUCUGAAAGUCCAGGGCUCAACCCUGGAAAGCGGGUGGAUACUGCCGGGCUAGAAUCCGGAAGAGGCGAGUGGAAUUCCUGGUGUAGCGGUGAAAUGCGCAGAUAUCAGGAGGAACACCUGUGGUGUAGACAGCUUACUGGACCACUUCUGACGCUGAGACACGAAAGCGUGGGUAGCAAACAGG